GUUAGGAGGAAAGUUAUGAGGGAGGAAUUAAAAAUAAUAUUGAAACUUAAGAACGAGGAAGAACAGGAUAACAUCAGCCCCAUUGUGGUGUCAAGAGAGAUAAAAAAGAAAAUUGGAGAUGUUGAAAUGGUUUCCUGAACCUGAUUUUGCCUUGCAUUGAAUCGUGCCUGGAUAAACUGUCUUCUGGAAGGAAGCUAUCCAGUUCCAUGAACAAAGACUCAAGUCUCUCAUGACUUUGUUGGAUCACGCCAGCUGGCGGCCUCCUGAUUCCUGCGUAUCUCGGACCUCCAUCUGCGAACCCUGUCCACCCUCCUUCCAUCGCACCUCUUGGAUUACAAACUCUCCUGGCUUACCAUAUCCACCAACUUCAGUCUCGCCGGCAAACAACCACUUGGUUUCUCCACUCACCCUCUGGCGGAUCCCUCCACCAUUCUUUUUUGCAUCCUGGUUCCAGUUCCCUGCAUUAUUCACCCAGUUGUAAAUAAACACUUUACC